ACUCCUACGGGAGGCAGCAGUGGGGAAUAUUGCACAAUGGGCGCAAGCCUGAUGCAGCAACGCCGCGUGAGCGAUGAAGGCCUUCGGGUCGUAAAGCUCUGUCCUCAAGGAAGAAUAAAUGACGGUACUUGAGGAGGAAGCCCCGGCUAACUACGUGCCAGCAGCCGCGGUAAUACGUAGGGGCAAGCGUUAUCCGGAAUCACUGGGCGUAAAGGGUGCGUAGGCGGUUUUUCAAGUCAGAAGUGAAAGGCUAUGGCUCAACCAUAGUAAGCUUUUGAAACUGUUAAACUUGAGUGCAGGAGAGGAAAGUGGAAUUCCUAGUGUAGAGGUGAAAUUCGUAGAUAUUAGGAGGAACACCAGUGGCGAAGGCGACUUUCUGGACUGUAACUGACGCUGAGGCACGAAAGCGUGGGAGCGAACAGGAUUAGAUACCCUGGUAGCGACUGA
rnacentral:rRNA from 1 species